UCUUCAUGGGCUUCUACAACAUGACUCAUUAUAACAAAGGAAGACAAUUACAUGCUUUUACACCCAUAACUUAUCUAAGCUGCCAUGUACUCCAGUUGUCUACAAGGGCCCAGAGCUCUUGGAAUUUGAGGCUUUCUCCUGAGAUUCUGUGAUAAAUGCUUAGCUGGAUGAACAAAAAUUUAGCUCAAGUACAUCAUAUGAUGAGGACAAACUGAGAGAAAUGCUUCACCUAGGCUUUGCUCUCAUUUCUCAGGCCUGGUGGAUACAAAAUGUGUUAGAAAAGAUAAGUGAGUCUUCCUUAACAUUUCAGCUUUACAUUAAGUGACCAUGACUUGAACCUCAGCUAUACUUUCAGUGGAUUCCCUUUGCGAUUUUUUCUUUAAGCAGGAGCCAGGGACUGCAUCAUAUUAUUAUAAUUUUUAAUAAGUUUGUUAUGACUGUUCCUAUUAAAGAUAUGCCUUCUUCUAAUCCCACAAGCCUCCAAUUUACUCAUUAGAGAGAUUGAUGUUCUCAGACAGCCACUGUUUUGGUGACAUGCUGACAAGUGGUGACAGUAAUAGACAGUCUACAGUAAUCUGCAUAUCCUUGGCUUCUGGGCAUGUACUCAUGCUAUACUUUACAUGCAUCUGACAUAUAUUUUAGUAUGUGAAUGUUAUAUUUGUAGUAGGAGCUUUGGUUUUAUUUUUUCCAAAUCUCAACCGAUAACAACAAAAUGUCUGUUGAUAAAGCAUCAGCGGUUGAACUGGCAAGUCACACAUAGGAAGAACAAGAUUAAAAACCUGCUCUACGUUUAUAGUAUUUAUUUCUCUUUUGGAUUUCUGGUUCCUUCGUUCAUCCCUAAAGUGAAUUAUUUUCACAUAUUAGUGAUAAGCUAUCACACCAACUACAUAAAAGGGAUAGGGAAAUAUAAAGAGAGACCGAAAAUAACUUAGUGUUUGCUAGUGGGUCUUUUGCAGCCAUGUUUGUUCCACUCUGGUGAAAUCAAAGAGAGCACAAACCAACAUGCAACAAAAUGCUAAAUACACAGAAUGCAUCUCUGGAAAGCUCUCUUGCUUGGUACAUCUUGCUUUCUCCCCUUCCUCAUUGCCUACCUGUUUCCUUAAUCACAUUGGUGAGAAGAAUUCUGUAGAAAUGCUAUCAGAAGUUUUCUAUAAUGUUGAUUACUCUGGCACUAUUCAGAUGUGAACAAUUCAGGUGUGAGAAUAUGAACAAGUACAGAAGGAAAAAUGAAUGAGACAAAGAAGUGAGAAGGAAAAGAGGAUGAGAAGGAGGAAGAAGAGGAGAGGGAGGAGGAGAGAAGACAAGGUGCAGGAGGAGAAGUAGCCACUCCCAUCUGGGUUCAGUGAAGUCCUAAGUGUCAGAAGAAGGCAUUGAGACUUAACAACUCUUGUCAAAUUAGGAUGAAGGUGCUAAAUGAAGAAGCGAGCAUUUUGAAUCACAGUCAGUAAGCGGAGAGCAGACUGGAGAUGAUCUGAGUCUUUGAACUCUCAAAGCCUUCCCUCCGUGACGUGCUUUCUCAGGCAACAUACCCAAACAGUGCCAUCAAUUAGGGACCAGGUAUUCAAGGUUCUAAGGUUAAGAGGGAUAUUUGUCAUCGAAAAAAACCACAAAGAUCAUUAUUUCCCUCAAUUCACUUUAAACAUGUAAAGAGAAUAAAAGGAAAAACAAUGUAAUUAAGCAUGAGCAGGAAGAAACAUGAGUUUUGAAGAUCAGCUGGAUCCUUCUCCAUGGGAUAGUUGCUGUAGAAAGCCACAAAGCUAUUCAUUGUCCCACAUUCCUAAUGAGCAAGAGGAUGGGCACAGAUAUUCACUAGCAGAUGUGUGUGGUCAAGGUAACUUGUGCCCCUUCUCUUCCAACAGUAAACAAUCAUGAAGAAGGCUUAAGAAAUGGAUGACUUUCUGUUAUUACAUGCCAAUAAGAUGAGAGCUGAGGUGGAGAAUGGGGGAAGAGCAAAAUUCCCUAUAGAUGGUCUAUCAUUAUCCUUGUUAUCCCAAACUUUGACUUUUUGUGAAGAAAGUGAUUUUGAGAGAGAACCAUUAAGAAAGAAAGUUGUUGUUUACAAAGAGUCUGAUAAAAUAGGUAGAAAGUCUUUUUAUAACCAGGCAAUCCACCUAUGAGCAUGGCACAAAUAGAAACUUUCUGUUAAAGCCCAGGAAUAUAAAUGGAAGUAAAUGGCAGCAUUAUUGCAUGAAUAAAUGAGUUAGUCAAUCAAUCACUGACAAGGCACACUCUGUAAUCAAAAGAUUUUUCAUGUUAAGAUUAAUUUCAUUUAAUACCAUUCUAAAUAUUGCAUAAGCCCCUUUGACAUUGAAUUAUAUUUCAUAAGACAGAAGGAGUACUUUUAGAAGCCAGAGAAUGGUAGACAGUCAGGAACGAUUCUCUAAGAUUUCAGGGUCUGGGUGGUCACAGGCACAGGUUUGCAAAUGCUUUAAAAGUCAUUGACUAAAACUGAAGUGACUAGCUAUGGGUGCUUUUUAAAUGAUGCUAGUGGCUGACAAUAUUGGUAAAGUCAAGAUUAUCAGGAAAAAACUCCUUUAAACUUAGAUCUUACACAUGAAACUUAUACCAAGUAACUACAGAAUAGUGAACAGAUAGUCCUUCUCAACAUAUGAAUAAUAACAAAAUACAUUGAAUGCAUAUGCACUGUUUGUAGCAUCUCAUAUUUGAUCCUGAAGCCAGUAAUAAGUACCAUACCAACAUAAGAUAACUUGAAGUCAGUUCAUCCCAUUCACCCGCCUUUUGCCAUGUAGACUCAAGAAAGACAGCCUCAUCUUGCCAGUAUCAGAAUAUUCUUCUCCCUGAACCAAAGCAAGAAAAGUCAACAAGGCUGCUUUAAAUUCACAGUGGUGCUAUCCCUCUGAAUUAAAGGAUGAGAAACAUGUAAAAACAAUUUUUGGAUUCUGUCACUAAAUUACUAUAAAAUAAUUGGCACAGGACUGUCUCUACUCCCCUCCAGCUGCAGUCAUCCUCAUAUAGGAGAACUCUCAUGGAGAACUUACUAAGAAUUACUUCUUACAAACAAUUUUCUGGUCAUUUCUUGCUUCCUCUCUUAACUUCUAUUUUACAUAGAUUUUUCCACAACUGAAAACAUAGAAAAAAGGUAAACUUUCAUAAAUUCACACUGUUUCAACAGAGAAACUUAGUUUUGUAUUUCAACCAGAGCAGAUUUACUCCCUGGGAGACCCUUGACAAAUACAAUUGCAGUUUAUUACUAGAUGUGCAGUAUAAAAUUUUGGUAAAGAAAAAUAAGAAGGCUAUGCAUGGAUUUAAACAAAGACAAUCCCUCUUUACCAAGUGUAAAGGUUUUUAAAAUUUAAGAAAUUUUACUUAUGGAAAAUAUAGAGAAGACAUUUUUCCUUAGUCUGCAUUCCCCAUCUCUUUACAGAAUAGUAGAUUCCUAAGAGUUACAAGUCCUUCUCAGGAUAGUCUUGUGGAGUGAAAAGCUGCACCUUAAGGUGAGUGAGAGAAACCAUUCCAAUGUUCUUAGCAUCAAGCACAACAAACCAAUUUAGAAACAGACAUCCUAGUACCUGCCACUGCCCAUCUAGUCCACCCGGGUUGCUGAGGACAGUGCUUGGACUGAGUUGCUUGUGACCUCUGUUUUCUAUUCAGAUGUACCCAAUCUUCAGAAUAGUGGGGCUUUUAACCUCCUCUCCACUUUCUGCCUCAUUUUAUAAACUUUUCAUAAAGUCAGUGACUAUGGGUCUGGAUGGGUUCUUUACCAUUUAUUAGAGCAGAGAUGUUAUUUAUUUCAUGGGUGAACAAACUCCAAGGAAGAAGGAAGACUCAUCAUCCACCUGUAAUCUGGAGAAGGACUAAAACUUGCAUCCGGCCUCACAUUCUCAGUCAAUGCUGUCUGCUUUCUCAGAACUACAUCUCUGAGUCCACAAUGUGUGGAUCUAUCAUAGGGCUCUUUCUACCAAGAAACAGGGAAUCCACAUUGCUGCAUUUGGAGUUUUGCAUAUUAUAACAAGUGGCAAUAUCUGGCCACAGUGUAUUCAAGUUUUUAAGAUGGCAGAAAUAAAAAGACAAAAAAAAUGUUUAAAGGAUCAUUAGAACUGGGGAUAUGGCUCAGUUGGCAUGGUGUUUAUCUGGCAGGCACGAAGCCCUGCAUAUUGCUCAAGCUGUAAUCCCAACACACAGAAGUGGAGGCAGGAGGAUCAAAAGUUCAAGGUCAUCUCAGCCAACUGGAAGCCAGGUUGGGGUGCCUGAGACUCUGUUUCACAUCAAAGCCAAAGAAACAUAACAUUGCAGGAUCUUUCCCCCUAAGAGUGGUUACCAAUAAUGGUAAGUGGAAUGAUGCACUGAAAGUCCUUCCUAAGCAGCUGAGCAUGUGUUCAGGUCACAGCUUCCUACUCUAGGAAAACCCAAAUUUACAGGCUUGUUUUUGCAUUUUUCAAAUAGUUACAUGUAUUCCUCUGGGGGAGAAAACAACUCUGGCAUUCAGAUGACGGUUUGGGAUGUGUUCUAAGGAUGCUUUCUUGUUGUUGUAAUAUAAGGAGAUGACGUUUAUAAGCACCUUUGUGUUGGUGUGACAAAGCCAAGGAAUGUAACUUUCUUACUGUUUUGAUAAUACAUCCAAUAUGGUCAUUCUUCCCUUUAAAAUGAAUAGCCCGUGCCAUGCAGAGCCUCAGUCCUUGUCAGCAUUGGCUUCUGGGAUUUAAAGACCGUUUCUAGGAGCAGAGAGGAGCACGGUGGCAAGAGCUGGAUCAGGACUGGCAUUCCUCUUAAGAGGCAGCCUGUUGCUCACAUCCCUGUAAUAGUUAAUCAUGUGCCAUCCACUGCAAUUGUCUCUUUCUUGUCUAUUUUGGCCAUAAUUUAGAAAUAUCUCUAUUUUUUUGGCUGUCGGGAAAGACAAGAAUCAAGAGUGUAUGGACCCUAUUUUCAACAUGAUUACUCUUUAAGAUUUUUUAUUUUUACAUUUUCAAUUAAAAUAGAAUUAUGUCACUUUCUCCCUUCUCUUUCCUCUCCAACUCCUCCCAUGCCCCUUUAUCUGAAAUUAAUAACAUGCUUUUCUUUACAAUUUUCCCUCGUUAUUGUUAUAUGUAUCUGUGCAAAAAUAUAUACUCUCUGCUGAGUCUGGUUUUGGUGGUGUGUUUAUGGUUGCCCACUUUGUAUUGACUGGCAUUCUUCUUAAGGGGACAGAGCUGACUGAGCAGCAGCCAAAUUCAGUUCCAUCCCUAUCUAAUUACUGUUUUUGUAUCAGAAGAAAUAGUGUUUUCAAUUUUUGAGUUAUUAAAAUAUUAUCAUUAGCUGAUCUUAAGUCUAAAGGUGGUUUUAGUAUGACCAAAAUGUUUUCACAAAGCAAACAAUGGCUUGUGUAAGAGCAGUUAACUCUAGUUCUUUGGUCCAUCUUUGUGUUCAUAUGUAGUUUCUUGUUUCUAGUUUUGGCUUUCAGUUGUUUGACAGACUAUAAAUUUAAUAUUAUAAAUUUUGUGGUCACAGUCUAGACCCUAGAUUCUUAACAGAUAUUAAUAAUAACACUAGAAACAUUUUUCUUGGUCCAAUGGCAACCUUGUCAUCAGAUUGUAACCAAGAGUAAAUAGAACACUCAAUUCAGCCCAUGUGCUCAUUAUGAACCCCAGAGAGAAUAAAUCAAACCUUUUCUUCAUGCUAAUGACUGAGUAGAAAGUCAAGGCUGGCAGGAAAUCAGUUCUGACUAACUUAUGGAUUCACCUGUCAAUUUAUUGCUUCUGUGAACAUCUCCGUAGAGUUAUCGUUAGGUAAUAAUGAAAAGAAUAGGAUGCCUUGUUCCCCUUAUGUUCUGGGCACUUGUGGUGGCACAUAGGUUCAGAGAUAUUCCCCACAACAGCAGUCCAUUUGUUGGAGAAAGGAAGUGUGAAACUGGGUAGAAAAUUGUGUUAACACAAUGAAGGAUAGGUACAUGGCUUAGUGGCACCCUAGUAUUAAUUCUACAGAUUGAAAUAGUCCCCUCUCCCACAUAAACAACUCCAAUGUUAAAAAGAGGGAAAGGGGACAUUGAGAGGCAACCCAACAUUAAAAAUAAAUAAGCAGAUGAAGGAAUAACACAAAUAGAGAACUUUAGGAAAAAGGCUGAAGAGAAGCGACUGCUAUUUGUGAUAGUCAAAAGGUCUUGAAAUAUUUCCUGACUUCCCGAGGCUCCAUCCACACAGCCCUAACCCACAAUUACAGAACAGAGGAAGGUGAGAGACCUUCACCUGUGUUGGAGGGGAACGUUCUGUCUCUUCCAUGGAGAUUUCAAUGGUGCAAAUCUGGAGAGACAUUAGGAACAUAGAUUUGAAACAGGUCUUCCUAAGAGACAUGGGCUCAUCCCUUACUCCUAGUCCAUGAGUGUUUUUCUAAGUGCAUUCUUGGGUACCUGCAUCGGAAUCACUUGAAAAUCCAGUUCCUGGGUUCCAAUAUAUAUGUAUGGAAUCUAUCUCCAGUAUAAUUUUGGUGUGCACUGAAGCCUGAGAGCUAUUAAAUCAGAGAAAUGUGACCAGAUAUCCCUUCACAACAUUAGCACUCAGCUGAGCUGAGUCCUUUUCAUGGGAAACCCAUUGUAAUCCGUCAGGAUUCUUCUGCAUAUUUGCCACUGUUCUUUUGUAAGCAAAGAGCACACAUGUUACUGGCCAUAAGUCCACUACUCUAAAAAAUGGAACUUUCUGCAAUUGCAAGUAUUCUCUACAGUCUCUGGGGAAGGGCAGUAAUGGGGAAAUCUCAGCACUGUGAUUUGUGUGCAGCCGAGGCUUAUCUAAAAUCAAAGGGCUGGGCUGAAGCCUACAGAAAAGGUCAAUGGCCCUUGUGGGUUGUUUGUUUGUUUUUCCUUAUUUCAUUCCCCGUUCCUAUUGUAAACCUGGAAAUGGAGAGGAUGAUCAUUCCAGAAGCAAUGGCCACCCAGGGCUGAGAAGAUGAACACAAAUACACAUACAUUGAUGACAAUUUGAAAACUCUAAAAUAUAUUUUUAUGACUGUCAAAGUCAUCAUUUCUUUGACAACUUCUACUUAUUAUGGGAAACUGUGAAUCAUGCUUUUGCUUUUGCACUUACAUAGAUAAAAUUACAUAACUAUUUUAAUGUUACAGGCUUAUUUGUCAAAUUUAGAAAUUCAAUAUGAAAUGAAGUCUGUCCAAUGACAAUGGUAACAGAACUAACCCCUCAGCAGAGCCAUUCUAUAGCUAACUACACAGACUUUCUCUAGAUUUCUUCGGUUUGAAUUAUAACUCCAGCACCUACUAGUUGUGUGACACUGAGAAAGGUAUUUAAUCUGUGUUUGAGGUAUCCCCAUAAUGUUGCUGCUGCUGCUGAAGAGGAGGAGGAGAAGGAGGAGGAGGAGGAGGAUGGAGAGGAGGAGGAGUACAGAGAAAGAUUUCUGCCUGAUGAGCUUCUUAGGAAGAGUAAAUGGCUCAAUAUUUAUAAGCUUCCAAACCACAGCUGUGUCUGUUAACCAGGAAUGAAGAAUGAGAGUCACUGUUUCCAUCCAGUCUUCAAAAGAGGUAUGUAACCCUCCAGCAUUAUGAGAGUCAGCCAGUAAGGAUGAAAUUUGCAGUUCAGAACAAGCUUGAUUUUUCCAUGUUCUGUGCUUCAAGUAUGAGGCAUCAUGUAAGAGCCUGAACAAGCUUGUGCAACCUCAAGCCACACAAGAUCACAGAUGCAGGAGUGGAGAAAGCCAGGAAAUUCCAUUCCUAGCUAAGGAGCUACUACUAUUUGUAUGUCUCUGGGAAAGGGAAAAUCUGGUUUCUUUAAUGGUAUGACACACUUCUGUGCCAACACCCUCCUGGGUGGGCCCCACAACCAGAAGUAGUUGGUCAACACAAACUGGACUCAAUGAAAAGAGAGGGGGACGAGAUGAAGUUGGCUGGAUAGGGAGGUGAGGUGGGGUCAUUAAUUUUAGCACCAAAUUUAAUUAUCUCUUCUAUUCUACUGUUUUUUAGUAUCGCUGGCUUCUAUACUUUUUCCCAAAAGUGUACUCAAAACACUUUUUACUCAGGUAAAAAUUAUACUUUGGUACAGCAGUAAAAUACUCAUAUGAUAUCUGUCUAAUUUUUUGAUGUAGGAAAUUGGGGCUAUGAACUUUCAUCACAGGACUGUCUUUUCAUUGUGAUUCAUAUAUCUGGGUAUAUUGUGUUUUUAUUUGCAUUCAUUUCAAGAUAUUUUAAAUUUUUCUUCUUGAUUUCUCACCUCACCAAUUUUCCAUGUUUGGUUUCCAUGCUUUUCUGUACUCAGGCCAUUUCUCUUCUUGAUAUCCAGAUUUAUUCUUUGUGGUCAAACAGAAUGUGAGGUAUCAUUUCCAUUUUCUAAAAUUUGUUGAAAUUUGCUUUGUGUCCUAAUAUGUGGACAGUUUCAUAGAACAUUCUACAGUCUGCUGAGAAAUGAUGUACUUUUUAGUGUUUGGAUGUAAUAUUCUCCAUAAGUCGUUUGAUUUCUGGUGUCAGUUAUCACUAGAGUUGUAUUUAGUUUUUGUUUGGAUGAUUGAUGCAGCGGUGAGAAUAUGAUGUGGAAAUCACAUACUAUCACUGUGUUGGGGUCAUUCUGUCAGUCUGUGAUUUUUAGAUCUAACAGUGUUUGUUUUAUGAAAUUGAAUGUCCUGUGUUUUGGUACAUAAAUGCUCAGGAUUAUAAUAUUCUUUUUGUGGAUUUUUUUGUUCUUUAAUGAGUUUAAAUGAACUUACCCAUUUCUUCUGGCUA